rnacentral:SRP_RNA from 1 species
GCUGGGCUCAGUGGCUCGUGUCUGUAGUUCCAGCUACUUGGGAGGCUGAGGUGGGAGGAUCACUUGAGCCCAGGAGUUCUGGGCUGUAGUGAGCUAUGCCGAUCGGGUGUCCGCACUAAGUUUGGCAUCAAUAUGGUGACCUCCUGGGAGUAGGGGACCACCAGAUUGCCUAAGGAUGGGUGAACCAGCCCAGGUUGAAAAUGGAGCAGGUCAAAACUCCCAUGCUGAUCGGUAGUGGGAUUGUGCCUGUGAACAGCCACUGCACUCCAGCCUGGGCAACAUAGCGAGACCCCAUCUCA